GAUGAACGCUGGCGGCGUGCUUAACACAUGCAAGUCGAACGAGAAGUGGAGACGGAAACCUUCGGGCGGAAGACUUUAUUUCGAGUGGCGGACGGGUGAGUAACGCGUGGGUAACCUGCCUCAUACAGGGGGAUAACAGUUGGAAUCGACUGUUAAUACCGCAUAAGACCACAGCACCGCAUGGUGCGGGGGUAAAAACUCCGGUGGUAUGAGAUGGACCCGCGUUCGAUUAGCCAGUUGGCGGGGUAACGGCCCACCAAAGCGACGAUCGAUAGCCGAUCUGAGAGGAUGACCGGCCACAUUGGGACUGAGACACGGCCCAAACUCCUACGGGAGGCAGCAGUGGGGAAUAUUGCACAAUGGGGGAAACCCUGAUGCAGCGACGCCGCGUGAGUGAAGAAGUAUUUCGGUAUGUAAAGCUCUAUCAGCAGGGAAGAAAAUGACGGUACCUGAGUAAGAAGCCCCGGCUAACUACGUG
rnacentral:rRNA from 1 species